CUGUUAAUCUAUCUGGUCCACCCUUACACACCCACCGUGACUCUUCCUGUCCUAAGAGCAUUUUUUUUCCCCACUCUGGAUCCGUGGUCCCUUUUUUUGGAUGCUGCUCUAAUAUCUCGUGGCUCCAAUUAGUUUCGAAUGGUACCGUCCGUCCUGUCCAUCCAUCCCGUUGUUCUACGCUGUUUAUUCGUUCACUCGUUCGUUCAUUCCUUCGUUCAUCGGUCGGACGGACGGAACGCUCGGAUGGUCGGUUCCUUCGUAACCCUCAGCUUCAUUAAGAAACGGUAAUGCGUUUUGUUUCUCUUCUCCGCUCUGAGAAGGGAACGAGCUAGGGACUCUUUUAAUAAUCCCGCAGCACGCUCAGAGAUUUAUUAUUUUCGGACUACGUUGCUGGAUAAGUCCAUAUGGCUGAUGCUUCUGCUUCUCUUCUUUCAUCCCUUUUUUUUUAUAUUUUUUCUUUCACUUCACUUUGUCUCGUGGACUUUUGCGACGGUUAUACUGAUGAUUUGGAAAAUUGCAUGGGUGUGUUGAAAAAAUGGGUUACCGGUAGAAGAGUUUUUCUUCAUAUUUUUCUAGUACUCAGCUGAAUGCACGAAGAUUCUUUUUUGGAUAUAUAUAUAUACGAUAGUACCUACUACUUUUUGCGUGUGUGGCUCGAGAUUGGCUCCGAAGAAGAAUUCGUACCACCAUACGUAGAAGGCUCCGGCAGCCACGCUCGUUUGGUUAUAAUUCUUCAGGGACGAAGAUAUAAGCGCACUCGGGCCUUUUGAUUUAACGAGGUGUAGUGUCGGUUAUACUAUAAACGGUAUAUCGGGCUGCUAUAAACCAAACGGUCGAGUCGGUAAAUUAGGAGCUGGAACCUCUCGCUAGAAGCCCCUAAAAAUACAAUUAACGAGUCGUUUAACGGGAUCCUGCAGAGGUCGCCACAUCCUUCUUGGGUUCCUAGCUCAAAGGACCUGGUCGAAUGAAAAAUCCUUCAGCCAAUAUAGGCGUCCUAGACAUCCAUUGGCUUCUAUCGAAAACUCAGGAUUAACUUUGUUUGUCAUUUGAGUGAAGGAUAGACGAAAGUGCCAGCGAACGAAAGUGAAAUCUUACCACGAGACACAAAAGGACAUGGACCAUUUUUCUGUGCUACUCUCUUGUGCUUUACGUACUGCAGUCCAGACUAUCGACCAUUUCUCUAUGGCUAACCUGAUAUUGUGCCAGCGUCGGAUGCUUUAAAGUUCAAGCAACGCUUCUUACCUACGUCACCAGAGCCUGUACCGUUCUCCAUGAUCAAGACCUUGAUACUUAUUAUACCGGCUGGUAAUCCUUGGAGCCUGGCUAUGGCGGCCAUACAUCCGUCAUACGACUAAGAAGCCUGCCCGGCAAGGAAGGAAUGAGAGAAAAGAAGGAAGAGAGAUCAGAAGGUGUCGGAGGUGAAGCUCCAUGGGGUGCGACCCCCGUGGCGAGCACGCGACUCCUGUCAGAGCCUCCGUUUUUAAAGAACAUAACAGUUACGUAAUGAGAACGACUCCCGUCCUUCAUUCGGCACGGCGUUGCGAAUAUGGAAUUUGAUUGAUUUUUCACGGUCCGAUAAGGCGCGUGCGCAACUCGAAAAUCCAGAUUCUUGGAGUUUCGUACGAGCGAAAAAUUCACCGUGCGUCAGCAGCGUGCGUUACUUGAUAUUGCUUUUUUUUUCAAAUAUCUAGUUCUCUCUUUUUUCUUGAAAAAAUAUAU